UACAGAGGGCGCGAGCGUUGUCCGGAAUCACUGGGCGUAAAGGGCGCGUAGGUGGCCACCAUAAGGCCGCGGUGAAAGUUCGGGGCUCAACCCCGAAUCGGCCGCGGCGACUGUGGGGCUCGGGUACUGUAGAGGCAGAUGGAAUUCCGGGUGUAGCGGUGGAAUGCGUAGAGAUCCGGAAGAACACCAGUGGCGAAGGCGGUCUGCUGGGCAGUGGGAUCGAAAGGUCCCUUCAACCGACACUGAGGCGCGACAGCGUGGGGAGCAACAGG
rnacentral:rRNA from 1 species